rnacentral:rRNA from 1 species
CCUACGGGUGGCAGCAGUGGGGAAUAUUGGACAAUGGGCGAAAGCCUGAUCCAGCCAUGCCGCGUGUGUGAAGAAGGCCUUCGGGUUGUAAAGCACUUUCAGUGGGGAAGAAAGCCUUGGGGCUAAUACCCUCGAGGAAGGACAUCACCCACAGAAGAAGCACCGGCUAACUCCGUGCCAGCAGCCGCGGUAAUACGGAGGGUGCGAGCGUUAAUCGGAAUUACUGGGCGUAAAGCGCGCGUAGGCGGUCUGAUAAGCCGGUUGUGAAAGCCCCGGGCUCAACCUGGGAACGGCAUCCGGAACUGUCAGGCUAGAGUGCAGGAGAGGAAGGUAGAAUUCCCGGUGUAGCGGUGAAAUGCGUAGAGAUCGGGAGGAAUACCAGUGGCGAAGGCGGCCUUCUGGACUGACACUGACGCUGAGGUGCGAAAGCGUGGGUAGCAAACAGGAUUAGUACCCCUGUAGUC